rnacentral:rRNA from 1 species
GUGGGGAAUAUUGGACAAUGGGCGAAAGCCUGAUCCAGCCAUGCCGCGUGUGUGAAGAAGGUCUUCGGAUUGUAAAGCACUUUAAGUUGGGAGGAAGGGCAUUAACCUAAUACGUUAGUGUUUUGACGUUACCGACAGAAUAAGCACCGGCUAACUUCGUGCCAGCAGCCGCGGUAAUACGAAGGGUGCAAGCGUUAAUCGGAAUUACUGGGCGUAAAGCGCGCGUAGGUGGUUCGUUAAGUUGUAUGUGAAAGCCCCGGGCUCAACCUGGGAACUGCAUCCAAAACUGGCGAGCUAGAGUACGGUAGAGUGUGGUGGAAUUUCCUGUGUAGCGGUGAAAUGCGUAGAUAUAGGAAGGAACACCAGUGGCGAAGGCGACCACCUGGACUGAUACUGACACUGAGGUGCGAAAGCGUGGGGAGCAAACAGGAUUAGAUACCCGAGUAGUCC